AACGUUAUCUUCUCACUUGUUUCUUUAGGCCUCCUACUCCCAGCUCCCAAUUGACACCCACAUCUGUGCUUUUAGCUUGGAUUUACAGAAACAGAUUAUUAAGCAAAAGAAGGAGCACCAACCUCUCCUGCUGCUCUUUCCAGCCUGACUGCCUCUCGAUUACACUGGAAUGAACUGUUUUCUCCAAACCAGGAACAUACCAGAGGGGUGAAGCAGUACUAUCAGCAAUUUCUGUUUUACCUGGCACAGAUAUCAGGGCAAAGAACCUGCUAAAUGUUGCCUCUAUACUGGUAUAACUGGGCCCAGCAAGGAGAUUCACUGCAACAUGCAGAGACACUAACCCUUUGAGACAUUCUCAUCCCUAUGGGAAGAAAGAGAAGUACAGAAAGUAUAUCUUUCCUCAUAUCCCUGUAAUGACCCAGUAGCAAAUACUUGCUGUUAUCUAACCCAGACUGGCAAGAGUGAAAUAGGACACAGAACACAAAACAGGCAUAUGAACCCAGCAGAAUCAAAUGAAUAUGGAAAAUCUGAGGAAACUGAAGCACGGAGAGGAAGUGAUUUGCUCCAGCCUCUUCCAUGACCCACUGCCAGAACGUGGAAUACAAUGUAGUUCUUGCUGGUUCUUAGCCUGAACUGAAAUCACCUGGCCCAUGGACUCUCUCAGAAGUAAUUAGAAGAAAAAACAUUUUUUUUUUUUUUUUUACAAAAAAGGUCUGGCUUGUAAGUUCCAAACUGAGUUCUCUAAGGAUAUAUUUUAAUAUAUUUUUUAUGCAUUUUAGAAUACUGACAUAGAAAAGGGAAGUUGUAUUGUAUCCGUUCUAUUACUUUUCAUAUUACUUCUACAAGGAUACAAUCAGUAGGAUCUAUGCUCCAAAUUCCUUUGGUAUUUUUAAAUAACUUCUCAAAGUUUUAUGGGAUGGAAAUACAACAUACAAUGCCAUCUCUUGUUUCUAAAUUGGCACCUAAAUUGUUUAAUUAUAAGCUAAUGACUUGUUCUGGGUGAUCUAUGCAUAGGAUUUUCAAGCUUUUUUUUUUCCAGCCACCCAUCUUUCUGUUUUUCUUCUUUGAGAAUCACAUUUCUUCCAGAUAGAUACCCUUUUAGAUCUAACUCUAUGUAGCUAUGGUGACAUCCAGAGAUCAGCUUUGAGAAUUACAAGUUCAUUUUCCGUGCAUAUUUUAAAGGAUAAGUAUAACUCCCUGUAUUUCAAAACUUCAUUAAAAAUCUGCUAGACAGUCAGUGCCACCAAUAUAUAUGAUCUAUGCAUACAGCAUUCAUUUAAGGGUGCAUACAGUUUUCUUUAAUUAAUUAAACAUUCCAGAAGAAUAAUUAGAUUUUCUAAGUAUGUUUCUUUUAAAAUGAAAGGAAUUAUGUUCCCUCCUCUGAUAACUUAUAUAGAGUGAUGCUCAAAAUCACUAUUACAAGAACCAUACUGCAUUUUAGUCUGCUAAUAUAAAUUUAUAAACAGAAUGUAGUGAAAUAAUUAAUAUAUUGAAUUGAAGUACCCAUAAAGUUAUGAAAAAUUAAGAAAUUACAUCUACACCUGAUUCUGAGUUGCUUUUUAGCUCUUAAUACCUAGCUUCUGGUGCUCUGAUGGCUGCUCUUACACAUUGCUGUAACAACAGCUACCGCUGCAAUAAUGAUAUGCAUAUUUUAAGUUUCUUUUGAUGCAUUUAUCAUCUCUUGCAACCGUUAUACUUACAUGUUUUAUUUGUUUCAUAUUUUACUUCCGAAUACUACUUAAUACCAUUGUAAGUUCCACAAUAUGUUUGCUGUAGCAAUGAUGUCUUUAUUGUGAUCUCUCUCUGUCAUUUAGCCGAAUGGAAAUUGUUAGCGGCCUCCUUAAGAUGACCUAAAAUACCAUUAUAUUUUUCCUGUCAAGCCAUUAUGUUCACUGGAUGGAUGCCAGAUGCUUCUGAGAAGAAAGUUCACCCAAAUGCCCCACAGCCUCCACAUCUUCCAUUUCUGUCUGCCAUGUAAGCUUUACGUGCUUCGAAUGACGCCAAUUUACUUACUGUAUUUUCCACGUGAGUGCAUAGGAUUUGCCCGUUAAAAUUAAGUACAACGUGCUUGUUGUUUGCAUUCCAAUAGAUCAGCCAUGUGGCAACUUGUACAGUAUUUACUCACUCUGCUGCAUCUAUCACAUUCAUACUGGAAAAGCCACUUCAAUUAUUUGUAACAAGUCCAGUUUAAUGCUUCUCUUCCAAGUGUCAAGCUGUGUACCACACAAUUUUGUAAUACAAGAACAGGUACUAAGCACAUCAAAAUGCAGGAGUGCAGUUCAGUUAUUCAUCUAUAAAAUGACUGCUCUACAGCAUAAAACACUAUCGCAAUGACAUGACUCACUGGAAAUACAAUAGUUCUCUUCCUCUAAAAAUCCUUCUCUACUCAAUCUCCAUUUUAAUUCUCAGUGAAUGCAUUUGAAUAAAUAAAAGUUAAGUCUUCCUCUGUUUCCUCCCAAGCUGCCCCCUCCCCCACCCAUCAUGUCUCAGUCAAUGCAAACAAAUAAUUCUGCUAUUAAAUAUUAUACAUGCCUGUCUUUUCUUGCUUCCACCUUCUUCCUAAGAAUAAUUUCAGCACUAGGUUCACAAGUGAGAAAACUUAAGUUCCCUUUGAUUAUAUUCAAGCUGAUCAGGCACUUGCCAUUCCAUUUGGGGGCUGGACUUGAUGAUCUUCAAGGUUCCUUCCAGCCCUAAUGUUUAUGAAAUAAUGUCUACAAAAUUUCAUGACAAAUUCUGAAAUUUCAAAAUUAGUUUUUAGUCUUGUCAUAAAUCACUGGAUUUCAGAAUUUCCCAUGAAAGAAAUUCAUUGCAGGUCAGCAGGAAUAUUGUUUUUGAUAAAACUGAAAUGUUUCAUAUACAUUCUGACUAUUUUAUUUAGGCUAUUUUAUGCUUUUAUUUUAUCUUAUAUGUCAAACUGUUGUAUUUUAUUAUAAUUUUAUAAUAGCUCUGUGAUAAAAUAGGCAAUACAUACCAUAACAUAAGAAUACAGGAACAGAAGAGACCCUCCUGAGUCCAGUCUCCUGCAUUCACACGGUCAACCAUUUAGCCAUAAACUCCAGUCCAGUACCUCACACAUGCACCAUAGCCAUCACGUACAUUGUGAAAACAAAAUAAAAAUCACCUACGAUGUGCCACAUGUCAAAGACCAAGGGGCACCAAGACACCAGUAAUAUCAUGUCAUUACAAUGGUAGAACAGUUAUAAGGUUACUAUAUACUCAUAUGAUCCCUGAGGAUCAGAGAACCGCACCUAUAACAAUAAAUGGAGACAAAAGCCCCUACCAGUCUUUGGUAAUCUGACUUAGGGGGAGGAGGGGAAUCCUUAUUGACCCCAAAUUCAGUGAUAGUUAUGAUCUUAAAAACAAGACUAAAACUAUCUAAGCUAGGUAGCUGAGAGUUUCCUAAGCAUCUGCACACACUAAUCAAAACUUCCAGCUCUACCUGUAGCACCAUGCCUAACACUUCACAAGAAGGUGGGAAAAACAAAAGUAAUCAAUAAAGCAUUCAUGCUGUGGAAAAAUCCUUCUGGGACCCUAGGACACUGGAAAGAAGGCCUGAGCAUGGGGAUAUCAGGCAUAUUCAGCCUAAGACAGUGCCUUUCAAACCUACUAUGGGAACAGUAAUACUUGAGUCACAUAUACCAUAUGAGCCGAUUACUGAUCCAAAGACAUGUCCUUUCAUGCUUCCCUCUACUUUGUUUUGAAGCAAUUCAGAUUCUUUUCCCAGCUCCCUUGUUUGGAAGUUCACUCCAAAACUUUACUCCGGUUGUUAAAACCUUCUUCUAAUUUUCAGUUUAAAUUUGUUCAUAGCAACUGUGAAGUCCUUCCAACUCACAGGCAAAGUCAGGUCUGGGCAGUACAUUUUGGGGGAGAAGGUGAACAGUCCUCAGUGGUGAAAGAACAGGUUAGGGACUGUUUGGAAAAGCUGGACAUGUACAAGUCUAUGCAGCCAGAUGCAAUGCAUCCAAGGGUACUAAGAUAGUUAAGUGAUGUGAUUGCAGAGCUGCUGGCCAUUAUCUUUGAAAACUCGUGAUGAUUGGGGGAGGUCCCAGAUGACUGGAAAGGACAAAUAUAGUGCCCAUCUUUAAGAAAAGGGAAGGAGGAUCCAGGGAACUAUAGACCCCAUUUCUAAGCAUUUGGAUGAAAAGAAGCUGAUUAGGGACAGUCAGCAUGGAUUCAUCAAGGGAAAGUCAUGCUUGACCUACCUGAUUGUCUUUUAUGAUGAGAUAACUGGCUCUGUGGACGUGGGGAAAGCAGUGGCCAUGAUCUACAUUGACUUUAGCAAGGCUUUUGAUACCGUCUUCCACAGCAUUCUUGCAAGCAAGCUGAGGAACUAUGGGUUGGAUGAAUGCAUUGUAAGGUGGAUAGAAAGCUGGCUGGAUUGCUGGGCUCAAAGGGUAGCAAUCAAUGGCUCAAUGUCUAGCUAGUAGCUGAUAUCAAGUGGAGUGUCCCAGGGGUCGGUCCUGAGGCAGGUUUUGUUCAAUAUCUUCAUUAACCAUCUGGAAGAUGGGAUGGAUUGUAUCCUCAGCAAGUUCACGAAUGACACCAAGCUGGGGCAGUGUAGUAGAUACACUGGAGGAUAGAGCUAGGAUUCAGAGUGACCUAGACAAAUUGGAGGAUUGGGCCAAAAAAAAAAAAUCUCACAAGGUUCAACUAGGACAAGUGGAAAGUCCUACACUUAGAAUGGGACAACCCCAUGCACCAAUACAGGUUUGGGACUGACUUGCUGGGCAGCAGCUCUAAAGAAAAGGAUCUGGGGUUUACAGUGGACAAUAAGCUGAAUAUGAGCCAGCAGUGUGCCCCUGUUGCCAAGAAGGCUAAUGGCAUACUGGGCUGCAUUAGUAGGAUCAUAGCUAGCAGAUCAAGGGAAGUAAUUAUUCCACUCUGUUCUGUGCUGGUGAGGCCAUAUUUGGAGUAUUGUGCUCAGUUUUCGGUUCUCCGCCGAUAGAAAGGAUGUGGACAAAUUGGAGACAGUCCAGCAGAGAGCAACCAAAAUGGUUCAGGGGCUGGGGCACAUUACUUAUAAGGAGAGGCUAAGAGAACUGGGUUUAUUAGUCUACAGAAGAGAAGACCGAGAGGGGAUUUGAUAGCAGCCUUUAACUACCUGAAGAGUAGUUCAAAAGAGGAUGGAGCUAGAAUUCUCAGCGGUGACAGAUGACAGAACAAGAAGCAAUGGUUUCAAGUUGCAGGAAGGGAGGUUUAGGUUGGAUAUUAGGAAAAACAUUCUCACUAGCAGGGUGGUGAAGCACUGGAAUGGGUUAGCUAGAGAGGUAGUGGAAUGUCUGUCCUUGGAGGUUUUUAAGACUUGGCUUGACAAAGCCCUGGCUGGAAUGAUCUAGUUGGGGAUGGUCCUGCUUUGAGCAGGGGUUGGGACUAUAUGACCUCCUGAGUCCCUUCUAACCCUAAUUUUCUAUGUUUCUAUUCCAAUAUUCAUCUUUAACUUAAACAGUUCUCGUUCCUUUCUGAGAUUAACCCCAUUAAUGUUUUUAUACCAAAAUAAUCAGAUCUCUUCCUUAACUUCAUUUGUUAAGCUAAACAAAUCAAACUCUUUUAAACUUACUGCCAUACUCUUAACAACAAAGUUGCCCUUCUUUUACCGUUACCAUUUUAAAUUAAUUGUUUUUUAGCGCUGGUGACAAGAGUUGUACACAAUAUUCUGCAUGGCGUCUUACUAGUGCUUUGUGCACUGGUUCAAGCACUUCCCUUCUUGUACUGAGCAUACCUUGCCUAAUGCAACAUAGCAUUCUAGCUUUGUAUAUUGAAAUGUUUAAUUUCAGAUUUUAUCCUGGUACAUAGCACAGUCUAAUUUGAUGCGUUCUGGCAGAUCAUGUUGGUUCCAACGAAUCAGCAAUUUUUGGCAGGAAAACAUACUACUGGAAAAAAAAUUGACCAAUGCUAUACCAUAUGGAUAGUUUCAAAAUGAGAGGUGAGCAAAACCAGAAUGUCCACUGUGUUGACAGGAAUGUUUCCAAAUUGGUUUUUUUUGCCUCAGAUUGGGACAGAGUUGAAAUAUUUUUUCUUUGCUGGGAGGGGUUAAGGGAAGGGGACCAUCAUUCUAAUGCCAUACCUAUGAUCUAUCACACUGCCACAUUUGGGAACAGAGUUGUAGUCCAACUAAAGAUGGACACAGGACAGACUGCACAUACCACUCCAAUGAGGCAAUAUGGCAAUAUGAUAUGACUUCAAACAAAACACUAUGGGUCAGUUCAGCAACCCAAAACUAUUUCGAUCUAGAUCAAAUAUCAAAUAUAUAUCCUAAAUUAAAUUUUGUGUCAAGAAUUAUUUUGGCAGGGAACUUCUGACUUUUACGCAAAAUCACUGAGUACCAAAAUAGAAAGUUGGACACACUGCUUGGAAACAGCAGGCACGGUGGAAGAAAAUAAGAGGUGGUUAAGAUUUCUUUUGUCUCACAAUUCCUUAUCUUAUGUUUGAAUGGCUUAUUAUUGUAUUAAUGUCCAACAACGAUUAAAAGCAUGAGGCUCCAUUAUCCUUGGCAAUAAUUUAGUUCCCUUGUUUGGAAAAAUGUGCUUGGCCUAUGAUCACUCGUUUUCUUUAUUGAGAAGCAAUGUCAUCAUCCUAUAAAACACAUCAGCUGUCCUAUUAAGCAUCCAUUAUACCAGUUUCCUUACUGGGCCAGCUCUGCAAGUUAUGCACAAUGGAACCACUGGUUGAAAUGUAAUGUAAAUUUGAUGAUUUGGUCUUCAAUGUAAUGCAUUUACAAGGCAACAGUCAAACCCAGCAAUGAUCACCACAACUUGUUAGAAGGGGCUGAUGCUAUCAAAAAUUGAUUACAUUGAUUUUUCUGACAUAAUAGUAGUCCUCAUGUCUAAACUUGUAUAUAAAGUUGAAAGGAAUGGGCCUCUAAUAAAGGCUUAACAGUGUUUGGAGAGGAACCCUAGAAACAGGUAAGCUCACAAAGAAGUGACUAGCUGGAAAUAGUGUUUUGGUGUAGAUGAAAAUAUAACCCUGAAAAACAUUAGUUUUGAUAGACUACCACUUUGGUUGGAGUAUACUGAGAAAAGAGUAGGAAUUCCAGCUUCUUAAAAGAUAAAGUCUAGGAUAUUUCAGUAUUAUUAACUUCACUGUCUGUUUCCAGUAGGAAAACACUUGAGAAUUAUUUCAAAUUGAAAAGUAACCAAACUAGUUGUUCCAUUACCAUACAUGCAUUCUCAGCCCCAAAUCUUCAAAAAUUGACCUGAAUGCUUUAAACAUCAUGACAGUAUUAAAAAUAAUCAAUGUUUUUAUUUGACGUCUGACUUUUUUACCUUGGAAUACAGGCAGGACACUUCUUCAAGCUAUCUUUCUUAGCCAUGAAGGCCAGAAAUUCACUUUUAAUUAUUAAUUUUGAGAUUAGCCUAAAUUAGCAUGACACCAGGAGCCAUCAGAUACCAUGGCACAUAUUAUAUGUCCAUAAAAACAGGCAUGCUGAAGAUAGUAUGCAGCAAAGCUAUAUGAGAAAAUCAGACCUUCCAAUACCGAAUUACAAAGUGUAGAUGCUCAGCCUAGUAAAAAGCUGCUGCAUUAUGGAGCCAAUAUGCCUGAAGCCAGAUGCAUCCCAUGGAAUCAUUGGCUCCUGUGACCUCUUAUCUGAGUUUAAGUGGACCAGGACAGUGCUACCUUUGACCACAUUUAGAAAUCGAUUUGUCUCUAUUCACAUAGAUGGACAUGGGUACAGCACAUGCAAUUUUCUACACAUGCUGUUCAGCCUUAAAUACAUCAUUAAUCUUCAUUUUAUGCACUGGAAGUUGAUUAGGCCCUAAGUACUGCAUUCAGUAAGUAUUCCUCACAAUAAGAUAUAAUGCUUAUCAACAGCUAUCUGUGUAUGUAUUUUUCCUAAAACUCACUGUAUUUAGUUAGAAAAUUCCUGAUUUUUCAAAGGUGGCUUUUACAGAAUGAAGUGCACCUUUGCAUAUAUGCAUCUUUGAAUCAUUAGCAAAUGUACACACGGGUUACAGAAUCCAGAACUAGAAUCCAUUGUUUGCUUACAGAAAGCCAUUUGCUAUGAAUAAAGUUUGGUUUUGUUAUAAAAGGCCAAUAGGCAUGAAUAAUAUAAGACUACUACUGCUUAGAUCAUUGGUGGCACUUUUCAUCCAGAAAUAUCACACUAUUUCACAAAGACUACUGCCAUGGUUUUACACAUAGAGGAAGCAAGGCAUAGAGAAAGAAAGGGACAUGUCCAAGGUCACCUGCAGGACUUGGGCAAAAACGACCCAGGUCCCAGUCCACUGCUUUCUCCAUAUUGUGUAGCAAACUGCAUGUUAUCUUAAGGUUACUGAAAAACAGACUCCACAAAUGUGAUAAGUACAUCAAAAUAAGUGAAAAUUACUGCCAUUCUUACUCACAUAUUAGGAACAGAUUUGAGAGUUAUGUAGAGAGGUGUUUAGGGAGUGUUUUUAUUCUUAAAACAAAGGGUUCUAUUUUGCAGAUUUUUUCAGAAUAUAAAAGGCAGGGGGCAAAACACCCAUUCUUUUUUCAGUUUCAGCUUUCAGUAAAAUUGGGAGGUGAGGCGGGGGGGCUGAACAAAAAAACAAUCCAUGCCAACUUUUCCUUUUUUUCAUCUUAAAACAUUACAAACAAAAUCAAAUUGACAAGUUAUUGUCCUCAAUUUUCCUGUAUUUUUUUUUUAUUCUCCUACUAGAUUUGUUUCACUGUAUUUCAUGCAGUGCUUGUACAGUUUCAUUGAUUCUAUUUCAGAACAUGGUAUUUAAAUUUCCAUAGCAUUUCUGGCUGUUACAUUACCGAUGCUUUGCAAACCACUUAUAUUAUUUGCUCAGGAUACCUAACAUGUAAGUAUUCUGUGGAACCCUUAUUGAAAAUGAAAUUCUAGAAUGGUAUUUUUAUUAUAAGUAGCAUUUUUCAUCAGUUUAUUCAUUGUGCCAAAUAAGCAGAGGCAUUCAGUUCGCUUCCUUUAUUUCCAUAAAGCAUUAAAACUGGAGGUGAGAUGUGACUUGAAGUCUAGGGGAAUUGAAAAUUGUAUACACACAGACUUCCAUCUUACGGUCAUUGUUCUGAAGCUGGCUAAUGACCAAUAAUUCUGGCAGCUUGACAGCUGUUUGAUGAUUUAAGUGGACCGAGUUUAUGGGUUUACUCCACGUUUUAGUGAAAAUCAAUAUCCACAUCAACCCCCGACUUCUUCACAAAAAAGAAAACAAAAUAACCCUGAUCAUAAUUAACACCUUUAUUCAGAAAUCUCAGCAGAGGUGCCAAGAAUGAAUGGCAUGGAGAUUCACCUCAGGUAUUUCACAAAUACUCUGCUAACACUUAACCCCUACAUGUUGGAUUCCCUUUGGAUUAUCUAUGCCAUACAGGGCUGAAUAGCUUCACAGAGCUUUCAAAAAUCCUGUCAUCUAUCCUAUGUAGAGAGGAAGGAAUUUCUAGUGGUUAGAGCACUAGCCUAGGAUGUAGGAGUCCUAGGUUCAACGUCUUGCUCCACCACACAAUUCCACUGGCAAAAUUACUUAACAUUUCUGUGCAGCAGUUCCCCAUCUGUAAAUUAUGAAUCAUAGCAGGGCAAUGGCAUAAUCUGAUUAUGGUGCUGUCACUAAGUAUGCAAUUCUGCGACCCCUUCUAAUAAUGAGGAAAACCCUUGUACCCCAAGUAUUUCCAUCGAGUUUAAUGCAAUAGCUCAUGGAUUAACAAGAUGCUGAGUACAUUUUGUAUGGUUUUAUAACAGCCGUUGCAAGUUAAAUGUUCUAAAUUUGUAAAAAUUAAGGGAAAAAAAUGACAAGAGUGAAGAAAUCAACAGUAAAGUAGGAAGGAAGGAAGGUUGUAGCAUGAUAAUAAUAUUGGAGUUGUCCUAGGAAAAUCCAGCUCCCUUUUUUGUAUAAUCUAUCCAUAUUUCAGAUUUGAAGUUUGUUGACCUAAGAACUACAUUCUUGUCUCUCAGAACAGAGAACUAUACUACCACCACUUCAUUGUACUGCAAGUUUUUCAGGCUUCAUUAUCUGUUUCUGCAGCAGUCUCAGAAGACUCACUCUUCCCUGAGUCCUAGAAUGUACAGGAAUUAUGCACAGUCCUGUUCAUAUAUUUGCAAAUACUUUAGGAAAAUGUACUUCAUACUGUAUGUGGACAACGCAUUUUAUCUCAUACAAUUUAAGACAAAUGGAACUUUUGUACUUAAAUAUAUAUGAGCUGUCAAUGA